rnacentral:rRNA from 1 species
GAUGAACGCUGGCGGCGUGCUUAACACAUGCCAGUCGAACGGAAAGGCCCAAGCUUGCUUGGGUACUCGAGUGGCGAACGGGUGAGUAACACGUGGGUGAUCUGCCCUGCACUUCGGGAUAAGCCUGGGAAACUGGGUCUAAUACCGGAUAGGACGAUGGUUUGGAUGCCAUUGUGGAAAGUUUUUUCGGUGUGGGAUGAGCUCGCGGCCUAUCAGCUUGUUGGUGGGGUAAUGGCCUACCAAGGCGUCGACGGGUAGCCGGCCGGAGAGGGUGUACGGCCACAUUGGGACUGGGAUACGGCCCAGACUCCGACGGGAGGCAGGAGUGGGGAAUAUUGCACAAUGGGCGCAAGCCUGAGGCAGCGACGCCGCGUGGGGGAUGACGGCCUUCGGGUUGUAAACUCCUGUCGCUAGGGACGAAGCGUUUUUGUGACGGUACCUGGAGAAGAAGCACCGGCUAACUACGUG